rnacentral:rRNA from 1 species
AUGGCGGAGUGGCGCCAGCGCCACCCGGAGGAUGUCGCCUACGAGCAGGCCUACUGGGCAAGGCGCUGCGAGGAGGACACGCGAAGGCGCCGCGAGACGCGGUUGGAAAGGCGUCAGCGGAAGACGUUGGCGAAUGCGCAGUCCGACAUCGUUGCAGCAGGUGGGCGGUCGUUCUUCGCGCCGAACGAUGAUCGGUGGCUGGACAUCUGGCUAGACACCUCGGACGACACCGCCGAGGAUGAUAAUGGUGAUGAUGAUAGCGACUUAGAGUAG